GAUUAUGUAGUUUAAAAGUAAAAUUUUGGUCUUGUAAACCAAAGAUUCGUAUUUGACUUAAUCA
rnacentral:tRNA from 1 species